GAUAUUACCCUUCCACCAAAUAUUUCGUUUUUACUAAUCCCCGAGUAUCAGAAAAAGUGCUUGAUGUCAUAAGUCUCCAUCAUAAUUAUCUCAAUAAUGGAAACGAAGAACACGAACAAGAGUGCCGAAUUUUAGCCACUUAUAAUCAAUCGGUAUAUUUUACCAAUGGGAAUUACACGAAAGCAACAUUUUCAAACACAGAAUUAAGUAAAAAUCCAUCAUAUAAAAAAUAUUCCAAGAUCUGGAACAACGUAAAUACAAGGACUGGAUUCUGGUGUCGAACACAAUUUAGUUCAUUCUCUGAUAUCUUCUCUAUAGCAAUAAAUAAAAAUGUUAAUUUUAUUAGCAAGAGAUUUACAGUUACAGUAAGUAAAGGAGAUUAUGUCGAUGUUUCUGAAUUGUUAAAUUUAAAAAAUAUUGACAUUGGCGACAAACUGAAAAUAAAUGGAGGGA